ACUCUCGACAACGGAUAUCUCGGCUCUCGUAUCGAUGAAGAAUAUAGUGAAAUGCGAUACUUGGUAUGAAUUGCAAAAUCCCGUGAACCAUCGAGUCUUUGAACACAAGUUGUGCCCCAAGCCAUUAGGCCGAGGGCACGUUUGCCUGGGUGUCACGCAUCGUCGCCCCAAUCCAACCCCGAUCCCUAGGGACUCAGUUGGACCGCGGCAAAAAUCGGCCUACCGUGCGCUACAGCCAGCGGUUGGCCUAAAUUCGAGUCUUUGACGACAUCAUCGUCGCGACCAUCGGUGGUAAUGCUAUAAGCAACCUCCUUCAGAGUCGUGUGCAUUUGUCGAUCGAGACCCUUGAACCCUUUCGGCAUCGUAAGAACGGUGCUCGCAUCACGACCCCAGGUUAGGCGGGAUUACCCACUGAGUUUAAGCAUAUCAAUAAGCGAAGGAAAAGAAACUUACCAAGAUUCCCCUAGUAACAGUGAGCGAAUCGGGAAAAGCCCAUCUUGAGAAUCGGGCGCCACCGAAGUCCGAAUUGUAGUCCGGAGAAGCUUUCUCAGCGGCGGACCGAACCCAAGUCCCCUGGAAAGGGGCACCAGAGAGGGUGAUAGCCCCAUCGUGCCCGGACCCUAUCGCACCACGAGGUGCUGUUUACGAGUCGGGUUUGUUUGGGAAUGCAGCCCUAAUCGGGCGAUAAAUUUCGUCCAAGGCUAAAUACGGACGAGAGACCGAUAGCGAACAAGUACCGUGAUGGAAAGAUGAAAAGGACUUUGGAAAGAGAGUCAAAGAGUGAUUGAAAUUGUCGAGAAGGAAGCGGAUUGGGGCCAGCGAUGCGCCCUGGUCGGAUGUAGAAUGGCGAGAGUCGGUCAGUCGAUCGGUUCGGGGCGUAGACCGACGCAGGUCAUGGCGAUAGCCCAAGCCCGGGCCUUUGAUAGGCCUGUGGAGACGUCGUCGCCUUGAUCGUCGGUCUAGCGGUCAGAAAAGCACUUGUCCGCACCCGUUCGUACUCAUAACCGUAUCAGGUCUCCAAGGUGAACAGCCUCUGGUCAAUGGAACAAUGUAGGUAAGGGAAGUCGACAAAAUGGAUCCGUAACCUCAGGAAAAUGACUGCCUCUGAGGGCUGGGCACGGGGGUCCCAGUCUCGAACCCGUCGGCUAUCGGUGCACUGCACGAGCUGCUUUCGCAGCAAGAGCGGGUCACCGCGUGCCGGUCGAGGGACGGACUGGGAACGACUCCCUCGGGGGCUUUCCCCGGGUGACGAACAGUCGACUCAGAACUGGUACGGACAAGGGGAAUCCGAUUGUUUAAUUAAAACAAAGCAUUGCGAUGGUCUUUGCGGAUGCUCACGCAAUGUGAUUUCUGUCCAGUGCUCUGAAUGUCAAAGUGAAGAAAUUCAACCAAGCAAGGGUAAACGGUAGGAGUAACUAUGACUCUCUUAAGGUAGCCAAAUUAGUGACGAGCAUGAAUGGAUUCACGAGAUUCCUACUGUCCCUGUCUACUAUACAGCAAAACCACAGGCAAGGGAACGGGCUUGGCAGAAUUAGCGGGGAAAGAAGACCCUGUUGAGCUUGACUCUAGUCCGACUUUGUGAAAUGACUUGAGAGGUGUGGGAUAAGUGGGAGCUCUCAAGGGAAAUUGAAAUACCACUACUUUAAACGUUAUUUUACUUAUUCCGUGAAUCAGAGGCGUGGCACGGCCCCUCUUUUUGGACCCAAGGCUGGCUUCGGCCAGUCGAUCUGGGUGGAAGACAUUGUCAGGUGGGGAGUUUGGCUGGGGCGACACAUCUGUUAAAAGAAAACGUAGGUGUCCUAAGAUGAGCUCAACGAGAACAGAAAUCUCGUGUGGAACAAAAGGGUAAAAGCUCGUUUGAUUCUGAUUUCCAGUACGAAUACGAACGGUGAAAGCGUGGCCUAUCAAUCCUUCAGACCUUCAGAAUUUGAAGCUAGAGGUGUCAGAAAAGUUACCACAGGGAUAACUGGCUUGUGGGAGCCAAGCGUUCAUAGCGACGUUGCUUUUUGAUCCUUCGAUGUCGGCUCUUCCUAUCAUUGGGUGCGAGCUCCCAACUGUUGGUGGUCCGGGCACUUGUUUAAUUUUUUGCCGUGCCGUGCCAUGCCAUCAUGCUACUUCGCUCAGCUUCUUAUAUUUGUUUUGGGCCAACAGAGAAAAUUUCUAAGUUAAACACUUGGCCGUGCCGCCCCCUAGGGAAACAUGGCACAACGGGAGCCCUGGUGGUGCGGGUGCGAGCUCCCAACUAUUGGUGGUCCGGGUACUUGUUCAAUUUUCUGCCGUGCCAUCAUGCCAUAUUUCAUUCGGCUUCUUGUAUUUUUUUGGGCCAACAGAAAAAAAUUUCAGUUAAAAAUUCUAAGUGUAAGUGGCCUAAAAGAAACUGCCCCUAUUUCAGGCAUAUGCAGGAGCCUCGGGCAACAUCGGCAACGUAGGCCAUCCCGUGGUGGCAGGUCAUCGGGCAACAUCAACACCUUGGUGCCUCAGAAGUGCGGGAGCGUUGGGC
rnacentral:rRNA from 1 species